AAUACCUACUUAGCCAUGCUGUAUUCAGAGUUGAGCCCUGUCUGUCUCCCCCACUGCAAAGCCCAGUUGCUGCAGUGGUCUCUAUACCUAUUGCAAUGGCUUCCUCACUGUGCUUUAACAAGUAUCAUUGAAUAACUUUUCUUUAACAAUAUAUAUAUGGAGUUUCACUCUUGUUGACCAGGCUGGAGUGCAGUGGCGCAAUCCUGGAUCACUGCAACCUUCUCCUCCUGGGUUCAAGCAAUUCUCCUGCCUCGGUCUCCUGAGUAGCUGGGAUUACAGGUUCUGUUGCUGGUCCCUAAGGGCCCUGAUGAACACAGUGAGUGAAAUCUUGAAGUGCCAGCUGCUCCACACUAAAGAGUUCUCAGAAAUGAAUCUCCAGGAGGGGUGAAUUAAAGCCAUGCUUUUCAAUCUAUCUGUGGUGAAAACCCAGCUUUAUUUUUAUUUCCUUAAAAUCUGUCAUGAAUCAACACUGGUCCAUCAGACUUGCAGACUUUGAGACCCACCACACCACCAGAACUGGCCAAUGGAAGAUUGUUAUAGACUUUCUCAGCAUUUACUCUCAAUUUCUGAAUUUCUCCCAUCACAGACCUGUAACAAAGAGUUCAUGGACUGGCCUCAGGUCAUGGACCACAAUGAGUAGCACUGAGCUGAAAGACAUGCUAACCAUGAAUUCCUCUGGCA
rnacentral:lncRNA from 10 species